rnacentral:rRNA from 1 species
UUCCAGACUCCUACGGGAGGCAGCAGUGGGGGAUAUUGCACAAUGGGGGAAACCCUGAUGCAGCGACGCCGCGUGGGCGAAGAAGUAUUUCGGUAUGUAAAGCCCUCUCAGCAGGGAAGAAGAAAUGACGGUACCUGAGUAAGAAGCACCGGCUAAAUACGUGCCAGCAGCCGCGGUAAUACGUAUGGUGCAAGCGUUAUCCGGAAUUACUGGGUGUAAAGGGAGCGUAGACGGUGAUGCAAGUCUGGAGUGAAAGGCGGGGGCCCAACCCCCGGACUGCUCUGGAAACUGUAUGACUUGAGUGCAGGAGAGGUAAGCGGAAUUCCUAGUGUAGCGGUGAAAUGCGUAGAUAUUAGGAGGAACACCAGUGGCGAAGGCGGCUUACUGGACUGUAACUGACGUUGAGGCUCGAAAGCGUGGGGAGCAAACAGGAUUAGAUACCCCGGUA